rnacentral:tRNA from 1 species
ACGCUCGUAGCUCAGACGGACAGAGCGUCUCCCUCCGAUGGAGAAGGCCGCGCGUUCGAGUCGCGCCGGGCGUA